rnacentral:lncRNA from 1 species
UUGGGUUGGGUUUAUGUGUUUCCACCAUUGACCUUGUGAAUAUAGUGGUUGUAGGAUGAAUUGUGGGCAAGAUAGUUUCUGAACUACCUUGUUCAUUGAUAUUAAGAUUUUUUUCAUUUAUAUUUUCUGAUUUAUUUUGUAGGUUCAUUUCUGAACUAUCUUGUUUAUUGAUAUUAAGGUUUUCUUCAUUUAUAUUUUC